UACGAAGGGGGCUAGCGUUGUUCGGAUUUACUGGGCGUAAAGCGCACGUAGGCGGAUCUUUAAGUCAGAGGUGAAAUCCCAAGGCUCAACCUUGGAACUGCCUUUGAUACUGGGGAUCUUGAGUCCGGGAGAGGUGAGUGGAACUGCGAGUGUAGAGGUGAAAUUCGUAGAUAUUCGCAAGAACACCAGUGGCGAAGGCGGCUCACUGGCCCGGUACUGACGCUGAGGUGCGAAAGCCUGGGGAGCAAACGGG
rnacentral:rRNA from 1 species